GCUCAUCCGAUCUAAAAGAGUUUAAAGACGACUCAAAAAUUUUGGAAGGAUUUUGCCUUCGAAGUUUGUCAGGCAAAAUUAGCCCACUUGAGUCAUGAGUAUAAAUGAAAUUUGUUUUUUCUGUAAGAAAAUUAAUGCACGUCAUAGUCUAAUUUCUAUUAUUAUCGACAGAAAUUCGAAUCAUUUUCUCGAGCCGUAUGAGGAGAAAACCUCCCAUACGUUUCU